CCUACGGGUGGCAGCAGUGAGGAAUAUUGGUCAAUGGUCGUAAGACUGAACCAGCCAAGUCGCGUGCAGGAUGACGGCCCUAUGGGUUGUAAACUGCUUUUAUGCGGGGGUAAAAUGCAUCUCGUGUCCUGCUUUGUAGGUACCUCAUGAAUAAGCACCGGCUAAAUCCGUGCCAGCAGCCGCGGUAAUACGGAGGGUCCGAGCGUUAUCCGGAUUUAUUGGGUUUAAAGGGGGCGCAGGCCGGAUGACAAGCGUGCCGUGAAAUGCCGUGGCUCAACCAUGGCACCGCGGUGCGAACUGGCUUCCUUGAGUGCGCGGAGCGUAUGCGGAAUGCGUGGUGUAGCGGUGAAAUGCAUAGAUAUCACGAAGAACUCCGAUCGCGAAGGCAGCCUACGGGAGCGCAACUGACGCUGAAGCUCGAAGGCGUGGGUAUCGAACAGGAUUAGAUACCCGGGUAGUC
rnacentral:rRNA from 1 species